UAAUGCCAUUGCUAAAAUAACAAAUAUAGCUACCUGAGACUUUGAUGGUAAUUGCUGCGACACUUUUUUGGAUCCCUUGGCAGCUGCUUGAUGACUAGCAAGGUCGUCAAAAAUGCUAUCCAAUGACCACAGCACAAAGGACCCNNNNNNNNNGAUCGCUGGCCAAGCCAAUCCACAGCUAUCUUGUAAACAUCUUCAGAUAUAUGAGAAAGAGGAAUAUCAACGAACUUAGACACUGAGGCCUCUCUGAAG
rnacentral:misc_RNA from 1 species